GCAGUAGCCGCGGGAAUACGUAGGGUGCGAGCGUUAAUCGGAAUUACUGGGCGUAAAGCGUGCGCAGGCGGUUCGUUAAGACAGAUGUGAAAUCCCCGGGCUUAACCUGGGAACUGCAUUUGUGACUGGCGAGCUAGAGUAUGGCAGAGGGGGGUAGAAUUCCACGUGUAGCAGUGAAAUGCGUAGAGAUGUGGAGGAAUACCGAUGGCGAAGGCAGCCCCCUGGGCCAAUACUGACGCUCAUGCACGAAAGCGUGGGGAGCAAACAGGAUUAGAUACCCCUGUAGUCCCUGUCUCUUAUAC
rnacentral:rRNA from 1 species